GCUGAUUUUAUUUCUCCUUCUGUUGAAGUCUCUGGCAGUGGCAGCAGUAGCAGCAGUGGCAGCAGCUGCGGCAAUAGCAGUAGCAGCGGCAGUAGGCCCUGAAAGCAGCAGAUCUCACCUGCAUUGGAGGAUGAGACGCCACAUGAAGAAGAAAGAAGACGCCACAGACAGCAGCGCAGUACCACCUUCCAGAGAUUUGGAAAUGCAGAAAUCACCUGUCUUCUGCGUCGAUCAGGCUGGGAGCUGCAGACCGGAGCUG
rnacentral:lncRNA from 1 species